UCCGUUAUGGUCUAGGUAAGCUCAACUCACUCCCACCGACCAACUCCGACUAACAAAGAAAGUGGCUAGGAUACAUCGCUCUCAAGCAAGUGCCGAUGUGGCCGGGGUUCGAUUCCCCGUGACGGAA
rnacentral:tRNA from 1 species